AAUAAACUUACAUUUUUUUUAUUUUUUUAAACAGAACAUUUCUUCCUGUAUUGAAAAUACUUAUCUCCUCACUCUACUAUAGAAAAUAGCCAUCUCUGUGGGCAUGGCAGCCCAGUGCUGCCCCACAUGGCCUGGCAGCCCUGUCCAGCACAGCAGGAAGCACCUCACAGCCACACCCCAUGGCCUCCAAUCCAAGGUCUGCUUCCCGUACGCACAUACUUAACUUCCUAGGCCACAAACUUUCUCCCCACCAAUCUCUUCCUAAAGGUGCUGACUGCUAACACACUUGCAAAAAGAGAGAAGAAAAAAAAAGGAAUUCCAACAAAUUCUUACUUCCACACAAAAAACACCCCCUCCCACAUCUUCCCUCAGGCCUUCCUAGCUCAGCUUGUAUACAUUCUGGAAUAUUAGUAGAAAAACCAUACAAAUGCUGUCCUACCUGAAGCUUGCCAAACACACACGUUCAUUCUGAUGGGGUCUCCUGUAUCUGAGGGCAGCAACCUCACCUCUCUCAGUUAUAACCCCGCAGUCAGCUCCACACACAGCUGAACAACAUCACCACACAGCUGCAGCCUUGUUAUCCUGUGCCCACCUCCUCACUCCCACAGCUGUGGUGUUACUCUCCUGUUCUGGAAGUUUCUCCCACUUUCUCUCCCUGUAGAGCUGGCACAUCUUUCCCUGCUGUUUCCAGGCCUUGACUAUGGAGCCUCAGGGACUAAAACAAACCGCUUCUACCUCAGUGCUGUUUCUGGUCAGAGUUCAGACCCUGAAGACAUUUCAUAUUUAGCUGUUGCCUGACUUCAGUGCCUUUUAAUUGCAAAGAAGUCCUAACUUGGAAACACGCUGUGACACACUCUGGUUCAGAGUUUUCAGGAGAUCAUCACAUGCCAAACCACCUUUGCAGACCCACAACAAGAAAUUCAACUUUGCUGUCAGUCAACAUUUCUGGCUUGAUAGUGUCCUAUAAAGAAGAUGUCGUGCCACAGUUCUGCUGUUGCAGCAUUUCUGGUUUUGUUAGCUCAAAGACCUAUGAACUGCUUGGUGGGAAAAGGAGCUGAGUACAUCUUUGUAACCUAUUUGGGUCCCUUUGUGCAUACAUGAGGAAAAAGAACUCAGGGAUUGAAGAAGAUUCAGAUACGUUUAUCUGUUUUUCUGGUGUGAUAUUUUGUACUUUGUAAUGAUGUUUGUAAGCAAUGUACCAGAGCCAU
rnacentral:lncRNA from 1 species